GUGCGGCGUGGCGCUGGGCCGGGCGCCGGGCUCGGGGCGGGGUGCGCGGUGCCAUGCGAAGAAGGACACGCGCUGCCCGUUUUCGAAGAGAGCUCGCUUCCGCCCUGCUCCUUCCUUCUGCCGUGGCCCAAAGCUCAGAUAAUCAGGAAGAGGACGGAGCUGACUUUUCAAGGAAUCUUGGAGAACCCAGGCCCCGGCCUCAGCCCAGGAAACCGCUUAGAACCAACUGGGCAGUGGUGGGAUGCUGGGACCGAGCACUGCUCCCUGCUCCUCUGCCUGGUCAUUCCUGAAGAGGGAGCAGACCUCAGGGUCUCACUGAGGUUGUUAUUACCCUGGAGCCACCAUUGCUCACACAGCCGAUGGAGGAGGCUCCAGGGCCUCUCCUGGCCCCUAGAUUGCCCAUCCCACCCUCGAAGCCCUUGUCUGGAGAUGUAAGUGAGUGUGUGUGGGGUCGGGGUGACACAUGUGAAAAGCAUGCAUGUGACUGUGUGCACAGCCCUGGAAGAUGGGGCUUGGAGAUUAAGUGACCACUUUACUAGAAGCCUCCUGCAGGCUGGGCCCUGGGCUGGGUGAUGCUGGGGGCUCCAGCUGCUCACAGGCCAGCAGCCAGAUAGUUCCCAGGGUGAGGGGGCUGGAGGUGGGAGGGGGCAGGGAGUCUGGAGGAGCAGUCAGGGAAGGUUGCUCCGGGAGGUGAAAUCGACAGAUGCUGGGUUGUGUGCUCAAGGAGCCCGGAGCAUUCCGAGAGCCACCUCAUCCCAGCCUGGACCACUGCAGUCUCCCUGCCCUCCCCCUUCUUCCUCCUGAGCCCCUCCAAUCCCGGCUGCUUGCCGCAGCCAAAGCAAUCCUUCCAAACCAUAAAUCAGAUCACAUCACUCCCCACUCCCCUGCUCCCCCACCUUCCCAUCAUAAGCAGGAGGGAAGCCAAGCCCGGGCCUCAGUCCUCAGCACAGCCUGCCAUGCUGGGGGCUGGGAAGGAAGAACCUUCUGCACCUCUGCAGCCUCAUCACCCACACUCCCCUCGCCCACCCCCAGGUUCCAGCUUCCCUGGCCUCUUGGCUCCUACCCAAAUACUAAGCUCAUUACAACCUCAGAGCCUCUGCGCUAGCCCUUUCCUCCUUCUGGAAGAUUCUUUCCCCAGCUCCUUCUCAUCAUCGAGAUCUCAGCUACAAGAAGCCUUCCCCAACCACCUUAUCUGUCCCACAAUUUACUUUAUUAAAAUGCCCCAUUUCAUCUUUUUGGUAUAA